CCUAUAUGAUCAACAAGUGUUUUACUUGAAUGAUUGACAAGUGUCAUCAUGUUAAAAAAAUUAAGAAAACCAAUACAUGAUAGUAUAGAAGAAGCUAUUAUUGGCAUUUGGAUCUGAACAUGUUGGAUAUUAAGCGGGAAUUUGAAUUUCAAAUUCAAAAUCAUUUUGUUCCAAAAUCAUUCCUUUUCUUAUCCUCAUAUAUAUCUUUGUUUUCAUUUGUCCUCCCUAAAUUAAAAUUUGAAAAGAUGAGUAGAGAAAACCGGAGAGGAUUCAGGGAGACAGAGACUGAACGAAAUAGAGAAGAAAAUACGAGGUGAUGAAAGAAAGAACGACUGAAGGAGAAGUGGCUGGUGACAACAGUGAGAGACAAGGACGCUAGAUCGAGAGAAAAAAAAAAGAGGAAUGAGGCAUCUACGGUGAUAGAGGCUAUCGCCGCCCUUGGUUCCGUAGGAACGCGUCCACUGUAUGGUAGACUAAUAUUUUAUUUUUGUUGCAGGCAGUGCUUCCAUAGUAACGCUAAGGGCUUCAUUAAGGAUCUCCUCCCGCAUUUCCAUCAAAGCAGAAAAGAAGAAAACAUGACGAUGAAGAGGGGAAGCACGACGAAAGAAGGAGAAGAUUGAGGCGACGACCGCGUCCUGCAUCAUACUAGGGGCUGAUGAAAAUUGAUAAAAUAGGAUGGAUCCUAUAAUUUGUAGAAAAGCCGAAGGGAUCUGAUCUGAAGGAAUUGGUAUGUUACUGGUAUAUAAAGCCCUAAACUUCUGACAUGUUGCCUUUUGUUUUUUGGUUUUUCCCACGGUUUAGGUGGAAUGUGAAGUGGACUUUCUGUUGAAAAUUAAAAUGUGAAACUGUGUCAUGGUGUUGUGCUUUUCUUUGGUUUAGGGGAGGCUUCCCCUUCAGAAACAGUGCAAGGGAAUUAUUUUGAUCAUACUUUCGAGUAUUGGUGAACAUUUUAUUCAA